rnacentral:misc_RNA from 1 species
GAUGAAGAACGUAGCGAAAAGCGAUAAGUAAUGUGAAUUGCAGAAUUCAGUGAAUCAUCGAAUCUUUGAACGCACAUUGCGCCCGUCAGUAUUCUGGCGGGCAUGCCUGUUCGAGCGUCAUUACGCCCCUCAAGUCCCCUGUGGACUUGGUGUUGGGGAUCGGCGAGGCUGGUUUUCCAGCACAGCCGUCCCUUAAAUUAAUUGGCGGUCUCGCCGUGGCCCUCCUCUGCGCAGUAGUAAAACACUCGCAACAGGAGCCCGGCGCGGUCCACUGCCGUAAAACCCCCCAACUUUUUAUAGUUGACCUCGAAUCAGGUAGGACUACCCGCUGAACUUAAGCAUAUCAAUAAGCGGAGGA